CUGUCAGCACAGAGCCGGACACGGGACCCAAAACAACCAACCGUGAGAUCGUGACCUAAGCCCAGCGCUCAACCGACUGAGCCACCCAAGCGCCCUGAGAUUCGUGUGUUUUAGAUGCCAGCAAACCAAGUAUCGGUAUUCAGACAGCAAGACCAAAGUUGGGCUGUAAAUGUUAAAAGCCCUGAUUUAUGUCGCUGUCCUCGUGAAGCACAGCCAUGGAAGCACAGCCUACUUCCCAUGGAGUAGGAUUGUUGAGCUACCAAACUGUUUUUCAAAAAAGCGACUGGAGGUUUCUUUGAAUAUCCAACAAGUACCAGGAACGGUGCCAUCAUUCCAUCCCGUUAAGUGGAGUGCCAGGUGACGGUCACCGAGCAACAGAAUGGAGCCCAGCAUUCAGCCUUGUAUUUCCUACCGCAUUUAAGGCUUUGUUAAAGAAUAUUUUAAGGACAUCUCUUCUGUCGCAAAAGAACUCAACGCUGGAGAUGGUUCCUCUCGAGUUGUUGGGGUUCAACUUGACAACAUUCUAGAGGCGGUACAGAGUCUGUGAUCAGAAAAAUGCCUUUAUCACGGCGAAAAUCUGCUCGUGCCGAUGGACCGGAGAGAAGGCAGAAGAAGUUGUGUCUCGGGGUAGCUGCUCUCCCUUGAAAUCCGGUAAAAAUGGCCCCGGGAAUGCAGGGCCUCAAAGUGAGUCCCCAAAGCGAGGGGCCUCUGGGACCCACACGCCAUCCCCCAAACAGGAAGAAUCAUUUUCCCGGCAACGGAAAGAUUAAUCACGCAUUUCACAAAGGAGACGCAAGGUUCGGUAAUGCGCGACCUUGAUUUACAAUGGCCCCCUGAUUUAUUGUUGUGUAUUUUUAAACCAUGCUAUUUAAAACACAGCUAAUUUAAAAGCUAGUGUGUAGGCCCCGUCUGACUAUUGCUAAAGAUUUACUUUGUGCUAAUAAGAAAAUUAUUGUGUCUACGCUAUUCCCACUUCUCCCGCACUGUGUGAUCCGACCUCCAAUAAAAUUGCUUGUCAGGUGAGAGACA